UCCUGCUUAUUUCUUUGGUGAAGCACUUGAGCCAUGUGCAUGAACCAAACCCAGUUCAUUUAAGACAGGUGUUUAAGUUACUUUGCCAGAUCUUUAUCCUAAUGGGUCUGCUGUGUUCUUUCACUUGUGACGAGUUUAGCUCAUUGAGACUACAUCACCACAGAGCUAUUACUCACUUAAUGAAGUCCACUAAAGAGAGAGUUCAUCAGGAUCCUUGUGAGGCUAUUUCUCAUAUCCAGAAAAAUCAGAUCAAGGGAAGUAGCCUUUGAAGCACAAACUUCAUGUUACUUAAAUGAAUUUGAAAAACUUGCCAUCUUAGGAAAAGGUGGAUAUGGAAGAGUAUACAAGGUCAGGAAUAAAUUAGAUGGUCAGUAUUAUGCAAUUUAAAAAAUCCUGAUUAAGGGUGCAACUAAGAUUGCAUGAAGGAACUAUGAGGAAUGAAGGUGCUGGCAGUCCAGCACCCUAAUAUCAUUGGUUAUCACACUGCGUGGACAGAACAUGUUCAAGUGAUCCAACCACAAGCAGAUAGAGCUUCCAUUCAGUUGCCAUUUCUGGAAGUGUUCUCCGACCAAGCAGAGGACAGAUACCAAUAUGGUGUUAAAAAUGGUGAAAGUAGCAGGUCAUCCAUUAUCUUCACUAAGCUCACCUCAGAAAAGAAAAACCCUUUGGAGAAUCUGACACUCAAAAUCAGAAUAACAAGCUGGUGAACUAUACCAUCAAUUCCAUCUUAAGAGACACCAGUGAAUUUGAAUCAUCCCUGGAGCUCCCGGAAAAUGGCUUGGCGGGUUUGUCCACCAGGUCAGUUGUGGAACAGCCCCUGCUGCUCAGCUGUAAUUCCCUCCAAGAGGAGAAUUUCACAUCCACUGAGGAAUCUUCCAAAGAAAACUUCAACUUGUUGGGGAUAGAGGUGCAGUACCACCUGAUGCUGCACAUCCAGAUGCAGGUGUGCAACUCCACCUGUGGGACUGGCUAGCCGAGAGAAACAAACAGGGCCAAGAGUGUGUGGAUAAGUUUGCUUGUCCUUAUGGCCAGUGUUGCAACAAAAAAUUUUCAAGAAUUAGUGGAAGGUGUGUUUUACAUACAUAACAUGGGAAUUGUAAACAGAGAUCUGAAGCCUAGAAAUACUUUUCUUCAUGGCUCUGAUCAGCAAGUAAAAAUAGGAGACUUUGGUCUGGCUUGCCCAGACAUCUUACAAAAGAACACAGACUGGACCAAUAGAAACGGAAAGAGAACACCAACACAUAUAUCCAGAGUGGGCACUUUUCUGUAUGCUUCAUCCCAACAGUUGGAAGGAUCUGAGUAUGAUGCCAAGGGUCUCAUUCUUGCCCAGGCUGGAGUGCAGUGGGGUCAUCAUAGCUCACAGCAGCCUCCAACUCCUGGGGUCAAGUGAUCCUCCCACCUCAGCCUCCCAAGUAGUUGGGACUACAGCAGUGUGCCACUGUACCCGGC